CGUCUAUAUACGUAUAGCAUAUCAAUAAGCGGAGGAAAAGAAACUAACAAGGAUUCCCUUAGUAACGGCGAGUGAAGCGGGAAGAGCUCAAAUUUGAAAUCUUCAAGGUUCUACCUUGACGAAUUGUAGUUUAAAGAAGUGUUUUCUGUUGGAGUUUUGGUAAAAGUUCUUUGGAAUAGGACAUCAUAGAGGGUGAGAAUCCCGUAUUUGACCAUUAUCUCCAGCUUUGUGAUACACUUUCAAAGAGUCGGAUUGUUUGGGAAUGCAGUCCAAAAUGGGUGGUAAAUUUCAUCUAAAGCUAAAUAUUGGCGAGAGACCGAUAGCGAACAAGUACCGUGAGGGAAAGAUGAAAAGAACUUUGAAAAGAGAGUUAAACAGUACGUGAAAUUGUCAAAAGGGAAGCGUUUGACACCAGUGUUGUUUUUCCGAAAAUCAAUUACGAAUGUUUUGUUUUUGAGGAGUUAUGACUUCAUCGGCUUGCUCCUUUCUUUACGAAACUUUCUUAAUGCACUUUUCGGUUAACAAGUCAACAUCAAUUUCUUUUGUUGUAAAAGGGUAUGAGGAAGGUGGCUUUCUUUUCGGAGAAAGUGUUUAUAGCCUUGUGCCUCUACAAUCGGAGAGAUUGAGGUCUGCAGCGUAGAUCCUUCGGGGUUAGAUACGUUUGUGCUAAGUUAUAGCUUUUCAUAGACAACUUGUUGACUAUGUUUAGUCUUGUAGCUUACUCGCUUAUGCUAUUUUACCUACGCUUAGGAUGUUGACUGAUAUGUAGUCGU
rnacentral:rRNA from 1 species